rnacentral:tRNA from 1 species
UAGAAUAUGGUGUAUUNGGAUAGCACGGAGAAUUUUGAAUUCUUAGGACUAGGUUCAAAUCCUAUGAUUCUAG